rnacentral:lncRNA from 1 species
UGGGAAGCCAUCCUGACACGUGACUGGGCGACUCCCGUUAAGGGUCUGAGGCUUCUGGCUGUGUCGGAAUUUUCCCGGCCCUUUCCUGAUGAGAGAACCCGUCCGUGUGGGGGUGUGACUGACCACUGACCCCGGGGGCCCAAUCACUGACCCUGACCUUGGAGUGCGGCCCCCCUCAACCUUCAUUGGAUGGAAUUAUCCCCUGAAUUUCUUGUUCCCCAAUAAAAGGCUACUCCCUGGCGUGUUCACUCUCUCUCUCUCCUGCUAGCCCUGAGUAAUCCUUGCUGCCCUGCUGGGCGGUUAGAGGUUGG